UAUGGAGGGUGCGAACGUUAAUCGGAAUCACUGGGCGUAAAGCGCGCGUAGGCGGUUUGUUAAGUGGGAUGUGAAAUCCCCGGGCUUAACCUGGGAAUUGCAUUUCAAACUGGCCGACUAGAGUACGGUAGAGGGAGGUAGAAUUUCCUGUGUAGCGGUGAAAUGCGUAGAUAUAGGAAGGAAUACCAGUGGCGAAGGCGGCCUCCUGGAUCGAUACUGACGCUGAGGCGCGAAAGCGUGGGGAGCAAACAGG
rnacentral:rRNA from 1 species